ensembl:lncRNA
CGGCAGGGUGUCCCCCUCUUCAGGGUGCACUUUCUCUCUCUCAAAUCCACCACAUCCUCCCUCUUGCUUUAAUUCUCUCCAGGGUCUCCAGGGUUUUUUCCACUUACACAGUGCAUCUGCAUGGCCAGUGCGUGAUGUGGAGCCCAAGCGGAUCACUUGCUUGAAGAAAACAAAUUAUUUGUAAAACAAGAUAAACUAGCAAGGUCAGCUUCCUACCAAAACUAGACUCUGAGAUACCGUGUGAUCUAGAACAGACUUUCUACGGCAGUACUCACAGCACCAUGCCAAACACAGUUCAAGAACCAUCUGGACAAUGCUCUCAGACAUAGAGCCUGAUUUUUGGGUGGUCCUGUUUGUGGACAGGAGUUGAACUUACGAUUCUUCUGGUUCCUUUCCAACUUGGGAUAUUCUAUGAUUCUAUGGUCUACCAGGAUAUUGUUCACUGCUGUGAUCCCACCCUAACCACCCACUACUGUAAAAAAAUUGUGCCUUACAGUUUUUAAAUAAUUCAGACAUGUCUCUCCAGUGAAACAGUAAACUCUCUCCAGAUGCCAACAUUUCAGUUUUGCAUACAGUUGUAAGCUUGUAUCUGUCACUAGGUUUUUCUACGGACCUUAAUGCAAUUGCUGUUUCCUAUCGAAUACAGCUCACAUUUUAUCCAUCUGCACUGUAGACAGUGUAUUUCUCCACCCAUCAUAAACAGCAGCAAACACUUUCCACUGUCAAGUUCUGUUUUAAAUGCUUACUUUCAUCAAUAUGGUGCAAUCUGCAGUGGAGAACAGAAGGUGGUUCUAAAUACAUUCUGGGGAGCGUAAGGGAGAAAUGAUGAAACAGCUCAGCUGAGUUAGUGAGCAGUGGCUGAGGCACUCCUCAUGGCAGCAGCAGAAUAGAAGCACAAGUUUAGAAAGACAUGGAGGAAACCGUAAAUACAGAUGAAAGCAAAAAGAUGAUGAGGAGAUUUAUAACUACCAUUAUGGAGCUUGAAAACCUGACUUCUACAGCAAAAGUCUCACUUCUCUUCCGAGGGGGUAUCAUGAAAAGAAGCUUGUACUGUAUUAACAAAUUUCUUCUCUGUUCUAGAUUGCACAAUCCUGAGGUUGAGGAUAACAGAAUAAUGGUUUCCAAGGAGAUUUAAUUGGAGUUCAGAUUACAUGAAUAUCAUGUAGCAUUUCCAAGGAGGGUAACAGAGCAUAGGAAUAAUGGCAGCAUUUCUGUAGGCAGAUGGUUGUGAGACUGUUAUAUUUAUUUACUUUCAACUUACUUUCAAUUUCAAAAUAAUUUCAAUUUGAAUAGAUUAAAUGAAAUUAUGGAACCAGCUGAGCUAUGCAGUUUAUUCCAGCUAAUAAAUAGAAUACACCUCAUUCACAAGAUACUAGGAACCCUUUUUUAUGGUUUUUAAUUUCACAUUUAGAGCAAAAGAGGGAAAAUCAUAAUCUAUCAUACAUUUCUGCGUCUCUUUGUCUGCAUAAUGUUUACUCUUAAAUAGAGUGUUUUCCUGGAAUACAGUGUACCAAUGCUGACCUAUAUCACUCAGUCACUGUGGAAUGCAUUCCCUAUGAAAUAACAAAACUAUAUCAUACAGUUCUUAUGCUUACAACUGUUUUAAAGUCGUGAGAGUUUUCUUUGGGAUUAGAACCAAAACCUGUCCAACAAAUUUCCAUAGGGAUUGCUGGAUGUCUUAGGAUAUGCGUCCUAAAUAGUUGUACUUUUUUAAAGCCAAGGAAACAAAAUAUUUUUAAGUACUUUUUCUUCAAAUGUGCUGCUGGUGAAGAAAGGCAUGAGGAAAUACUGCAGAGAAACAGAACUGUGGUGAAAGAGCCUCCUGUUGAACAGAAUAAUUCAUCCAUUCCAACAGCAGCAGAAAGAAAAUGAAAACAUGACCUGAAUCAGCAGCUGAAAAAAAGAGAAGUUAAGCCCGUUAGAAAUGCUUCUGUCAGAUUUUUGGCAUAGUUUUGUCCUUAUAUGAUACCUCUAAAAUACUGUAGGUAUGUUCUCAAAAUAAUAAUAAUAAUAAAACUGUUGUAGACGUUAAAGCAGUUCUUGAAGAAACAAUAGAAGUUUAAUAGAAACCAUCUGUUAAGAUGCUUAGACUCAAGAGGCCAUUGUUUUAGUUGGUU